rnacentral:rRNA from 1 species
GACGAACGCUGGCGGCGUGCUUAACACAUGCAAGUCGAACGGAAAGGCCCUGCUUUUGUGGGGUGCUCGAGUGGCGAACGGGUGAGUAACACGUGAGUAACCUGCCCUUGACUUUGGGAUAACUUCAGGAAACUGGGGCUAAUACCGGAUAGGAGCUCCUGCUGCAUGGUGGGGGUUGGAAAGUUUCGGCGGUUGGGGAUGGACUCGCGGCUUAUCAGCUUGUUGGUGGGGUAGUGGCUUACCAAGGCUUUGACGGGUAGCCGGCCUGAGAGGGUGACCGGCCACAUUGGGACUGAGAUACGGCCCAGACUCCUACGGGAGGCAGCAGUGGGGAAUAUUGCACAAUGGGCGGAAGCCUGAUGCAGCAACGCCGCGUGCGGGAUGACGGCCUUCGGGUUGUAAACCGCUUUCGCCUGUGACGAAGCGUGAGUGACGGUAAUGGGUAAAGAAGCACCGGCUAACUACGUGCCAGCAGCCGCGGUGAUACGUAGGGUGCGAGCGUUGUCCGGGAUUUAUUGGGCGUAAAGGGCUCGUAGGUGGUUGAUCGCGUCGGAAGUGUAAUCUGGGGGCUUAACCCUGAGCGUGCUUUCGAUACGGGUUGACUUGAGGAAUGUAGGGGAGAAUGGAAUUCCUGGUGGAGCGGUGGAAUGCGCAGAUAUCAGGAGGAACACCAGUGGCGAAGGCGGUUCUCUGGGCCUUUCCUGACGCUGAGGAGCGAAAGCGUGGGGAGCGAACAGGCUUAGAUACUCUGGUAGUCCACGCUGUAAACGGUGGGUACUAGGUGUGGGGUCCAUUCCACGGGUUCCGUGCCGUAGCUAACGCUUUAAGUACCCCGCCUGGGGAGUACGGCCGCAAGGCUAAAACUCAAAGGAAUUGACGGGGCCCCGCACAAGCGGCGGAGCAUGCGGAUUAAUUCGAUGCAACGCGUAAAACCUUACCUGGGUUUGACAUGGAUCGGGAGUGCUCAGAGAUGGGUGUGCCUCUUUUGGGGUCGGUUCACAGGUGGUGCAUGGCUGUCAUCAGCUCGUGUCGUGAGAUGUUGGGUUAAGUCCCGCAACGAGCGCAACCCUUGUUCACUGUUGCCAGCACGUUAUGGUGGGGACUCAGUGGAGACCGCCGGGGUCAACUCGGAGGAAGGUGGGGAUGACGUCAAGUCAUCAUGCCCCUUAUGUCCAGGGCUUCACGCAUGCUACAAUGGCUGGUACAGAGAGUGGCGAGCCUGUGAGGGUGAGCGAAUCUCGGAAAGCCGGUCUCAGUUCGGAUUGGGGUCUGCAACUCGACCUCAUGAAGUCGGAGUCGCUAGUAAUCGCAGAUCAGCAACGCUGCGGUGAAUACGUUCCCGGG